rnacentral:rRNA from 2 species
GGACCUGACUGCUAUCGGAUUGAUACUAAGCCAUGCGAGUCAUUGUAGCAAUACAAGGCAGACGGCUCAGUAACGCGUAGUCAAUCUACCCUAUGGACGGGAAUAACCUCGGGAAACUGAGAAUAAUGCCCGAUAGAACAUUAUGCCUGGAAUGGUUUAUGUUUCAAAUGAUUUAUCGCCAUAGGAUGGGACUGCGGCCUAUCAGUUUGUUGGUGAGGUAAUGGCCCACCAAGACUAUUACAGGUACGGGCUCUGAGAGGAGUAGCCCGGAGAUGGGUACUGAGACACGGACCCAGGCCCUAUGGGGCGCAGCAGGCGAGAAAACUUUGCAAUGUGCGAAAGCACGACAAGGUUAAUCCGAGUGGUUUCUGCUAAAGAAACCUUUUGUCAGUCCUAGAAACACUAACGAAUAAGGGGUGGGCAAGCUCUGGUGUCAGCCGCCGCGGUAAAACCAGCACCUCAAGUGGUCAGGAUGAUUAUUGGGCCUAAAGCAUCCGUAGCUCGUUUUGUAAGUUUUCGGUUAAAUCCAUGCGCUUAACGUAUGGGCUGCCGGGAAUACUGCAUAACUAGGAAGUGGGAGAGGUAGACGGUACUCGGGAGGAAGGGGUAAAAUCCUUUGAUCUCUUGAUGACCACCUGUGGCGAAGGCGGUCUACCAGAACACGUUCGACGGUGAGGGAUGAAAGCUGGGGGAGCAAACCGGAUUAGAUACCCGGGUA